UAGUUUAGUUAUAAAAAGUGCUAUAUUUUCGUAAAAAAUUGUUGACAACCCUAGUUCCGACGCCGCCCGACGCCGCCCGACGGCCGCCGAGCGCGUGACAGCUCGUCACGUCCAUCACAGCGGCAGCGGCACACUUUGCUAUGUACUCGAUUACAUAGGUGUAGUUUACGUGGCGCGGCCAACUCCGCUGCAUUCGGUACUCUAGCAUCGAUUAUUGGCCAUGCCUUCUUUUAGGAGAGGGGAUGUAGAGAAUACACCCACCACGCUGUUAGUAUCAAGCCUUAAAACUUACAAUAGACAAAAUAGUAUUGACAUGAGUGUGAUGAGUGGUCUACGAGACAAACGUUUGGGGAUCUCUGCUACGCUAUAACAAUAUCGCGUUGUGUGUGUGAGUAUCGUAAUGAGCUCUCUAUGUGCGGGGCAACAGUAAAAAGUAUGGCGCGAGCGCACGGAGCGGCAACGUCGCGCCGCCGAGGCCGACGCGGUGAAAACUGAAAACAAUGCCUUUUAUUACUUUGUGUUUUUUUUAUGUGAAUAUUUUUUUUUAUUGAUCAUGCUUUGAUGACUACGUUUUAGACAGUUUCAAUGUAGGUACAAUGCAUAAUGAAUAUAGAGUACCUAUGUAUUUUUUUUUAUUAGCCGACUUUCAUAAAGGAGGUUUUAUGGACAUAUUUUUUUAAAUUAAAAUUUUUUUUUUGGUUAUUUCUUUGAAUGUUGCGUUAUUUUUUUGCACACUAGGGUUUUUUUUGCUAACUUCUACUCCUAUGGAGACUGUAAUUGAAAGAUUACGAGAUAGAAUCAAAACAUAUUUUACUAAAGAUGUAUAAUCUGAGUGGAUAAGAAGAUUCAAUUAGAAAUUACUCUAGCGUGGAUUUUAAUAAUCAUAAUAGGCAAAACAACUCACACAAUGUAGUAACAGAAAGGCAUUAUAUAAAUAAAAUAGUCAAAACAUGAAAAAAAUACUAUUACUUAAAAAUACUUUUGAAGUUCGAAGUCAAUAAAAGUCCAGUUUUACUAUCGCAUGGACAUCUUCGCUUUACAUUCCACACGUGCAUUUGUGGCGCCAGCGUUAGACUCUAUGGUCUAUCUAUAUAGAAUCUAUAACAAUAGCUCUAUGGCUAUUGCUACAGAUUCCAAAUUUAAAUGUAUAAUUUAAACAUAGAUCUUUCGAUUAUACCAUGCAACUGGGUGACUCAAGCCGCCUAAAUACAAAGCCGUGAAGUCAGUAAAAAUACCAAUAAAUAGGGAAAAUAUACUAGACAUAAUUUAAAAAUUAGAAAGUUGUCCGUUUGAUUUGUCCUGUAAAAAGAACAAUUUCAAACGCUUUAUGUAACGAGGCGUGCAAAAAAAUCUACUUCUGAAGUUAAACUUCCAAGUUAGUGGGAGCAAAAAGUUUUACAAUUGCAUGGACAUCGUCAAAUCAAUGCAUUUCACACGCGCUCUACCAAUGUGGUGCAGGCGUUAUACCAUAGAGCUUAUUUCUUUAAAGAUUCGAAAUUUGAAUUUAUAAUUCUUUAUAGUUAGUUCGGAAAGUAUAUUCCAUAGUAGGUGCUUAUUAGAUUUUAAAAAGAUACAAUUAAUGACUUGUCAAGUAAAGAAUGCUCUUCUGUGCAUUUACCUAGGAACCCUUAUGUAAGUUUCAUUUUUAAUUUUUCGUAAAGUUCUAAAUAAAAUAAAUAAUAAAUAUUUAUUUUAUUUAGAACUUGUCGAAAAAUUAACCCUUAUGUAAGUGUUUUUUAAUUUUUCGACAAGUUUACGCUUGACUAAAUAUCAAAAAAAUACGUUUCAUACCUAUGUAAUAGGAAAAUUGAAGAUCUCUAAGAGAUAAAUAGACAAAAUGACAGCCAAUAGUAGCGCAAUCGGAAAUAUCGCUAUCCUUUUCGUUGCAUUGGAACGAAAGAGAUGAGACUGGGACAAUGAUAAUUGUCGUUGGUCAUGCUAGGCAUACCACUAGCCAUGCUGUCAUCCAAAAUCACCACGGUCCAAAUUCCAUAAUUAAAUACCGUACCACACCGUACUUACCUUAUGGUAGGAAUAUUAGCUUACAAACAUUCCUUCAUUAAAUGAGAUCUGGUCAUAAUUUGUUAUAACUUCACUAAUAACUGGCGCUAACAGUUCAAAAAAUUAUAUUCCAUAUUGGAUUUGAAAAACAAACACGCCACGAAAAUAGCCGGGCGUACCUAUAUACCGUAUAAUGAAAAAAAAUAGUAACCGAUGUUGACCUUUCUGAUCGCGGCUUACUAGCUGCGGCCAGCUGACGCGGCGUUGCCGCUCCGUGCACGCUGACACAAAUCCACGAGCUUAUCGCCUCUAUUACACAGCAAUAAAGACCAAUUUACCGUAACGAUGUUAAGUACAUAAGGGACAUAGGAUGUUUUUUUACGCUAGACGACACUUCCCGCGCGAAAAAUUCGAAAUACUUUUUUUUUUAUUAUCACUAUCAGUCGCGUUCGGUAGUCGUUUAGACAGUACGCGUGAUUCAUCGACGAAUUAUUCCACUUGCUUUAUUUAUUUCGGAACGGUAUGGUAGGCGUUUUGAUAAGAGGACUGAAUGUUUCAAAAAUUGCUGCGUCUUCGUCUAUCGCGUGGAUUUAGUGACGUUACGGAUUAGUGUUGUCACUCGGUCGUCCCGAUUUUCAGACUCAGUGUUUCGGCUUUAGCUUACUCUAAAUGUGAAUACUUAAUGCAAAGUGCAAUAUUGUGAUACCAAAGUGUCCAAAGUUUAGUGUUAAAUUAUAUAAUUAUAUUUACAAAUAUUAUAUCAAAAAUUUAUUUAUACAAUAAAAUAAUUAAUU
rnacentral:lncRNA from 1 species